rnacentral:lncRNA from 1 species
AUGGCACCCAGGUGGGGUGUAGAUAUCUCCAGAGGAGACCCCCCACCCUCUCUGGGCGAUGAGAUCUCAUACACUGCCUCGCAUGUGCAGCUGGUGCUCCAGAACCUUCUGGAAAGAGCUCAGACACAACUAAACCCAGUGGGGGCAGCUCUGACUGAACGCAACCUAAAGCAGGACUACUGCAUUCGCUGCCAUCGGCAAAUAUUCAUUAGCAAAUUCUCCCGCAGCCACUUGUACGCUUCAUGGGAGGCUGGAAGAAAAGAAAAAAAAAAAAGAGGAUGUGAAAUAAUCCUUGGCUUAUCAGGGAAAGCCUCCUGCGGAAUCCUAGCCUAGGCAGAGAAGCACAGUGCUGGUUUUUCAAAACUUCGGACACCAGAAGUGUGGGACUUACCGGGGGGAAGGGCAGAUAACACAGAACACAUCCC